AGAGUUUGAUCAUGGCUCAGAACGAACGCUGGCGGCGUGCUUAACACAUGCAAGUCGCGUGCGCAGUUUCCGUAGCAAUACGGGGAUGGGCGCACGGCGCACGGGUGCGUAACACGUGGGCAAUCUGCCCUCCGAUGGGGAAUACCCCCGCGAAAGCGGGACUAAUUCCGCAUAACAUUCCUUGGAUUAACUUUCGAGGAUUCAAAGCAGCAAUGCGUCGGAGGAGGAGCCCGCGCCCGAUUAGCUAGUUGGCGAGGUAACGGCUCACCAAGGCAAUGAUCGGUAGCUGGUCUGAGAGGAUGGCCAGCCACACUGGAACUGAGACACGGUCCAGACUCCUACGGGAGGCAGCAGUGGGGAAUCUUGCACAAUGGGCGAAAGCCUGAUGCAGCGACGCCGCGUGGGGGAUGAAGCUUUUCGGAGUGUAAACCCCUUUCGACUGGGACGAAUGCCUCGCAAGAGGAGUGACGGUACCAGUAUAAGAAGCCCCGGCUAACUACGUGCCAGCAGCCGCGGUAAGACGUAGGGGGCCAGCGUUGUUCGGAAUUACUGGGUGUAAAGGGUUCGUAGGCGGUGUGGCAAGUCGGGAGUGAAAUCUCUGGGCUCAACCCAGAGACUGCUUCCGAAACUGCUGUGCUUGAGUGUGAGAGAGGCUCGUGGAAUUGCAGGUGUAGCGGUGAAAUGCGUAGAUAUCUGCAGGAACACCCGUGGCGAAAGCGGCGAGCUGGAUCACUACUGACGCUGAGGAACGAAAGCUAGGGGAGCAAACAGGAUUAGAUACCCUGGUAGUCCUAGCCCUAAACGAUCAGGACUUGGGGUGCCGCCCGUUCGGGCGUCGUCCCGGAGCUAACGCGUUAAGUCCUGCACCUGGGGAGUACGGUCGCAAGACUGAACUCAAGGAUUGACGGGGCCCGCACAGCGGUGGACAUGUGGUUCAUUCGACGCUACGCGAGGAACCUUACCUGGGCUC
rnacentral:rRNA from 1 species